rnacentral:piRNA from 1 species
UAUUACUUCUCAUGGACUGGUCACUG